GCAUUAAUGGGGUAGUGGUAACCUGGGUCGUUGCCAUCGGCAAUCGUCGACCCGCCGGGGGUUCAAUUCCCCCUUAAUGCA